rfam:Triticum aestivum genome assembly, contig: Triticum_aestivum_CS42_TGACv1_scaffold_321565_4BL
CAACUACUCCCCCUAUCCCAAUUUUCUUGUCAUAGAUUUGUCUAGAUACGGAUGUAUCUGUCUUAGAUUUGUCUAGAUACGGAUGUAUCACGAUGACGUGAUACAUCCGUAUCUAGACAAAUCUAAGACAAGAAUUUUGGGACGGAGGGAGUACUUU